AAAAAGAAGAAAAGAAAUCCACAAAAUAAGAAACGGUCGUUCAGCCAAUCUCCCUGACCAAUGCUCUCAUUUCCCCUCCCUCUCUCAUUCUUACAGGUGGACCCCAUGUGUCAUUUCCUCCACUCUUCCCUCUCCAUAACCGUCUCCAAUUAGUGCUUGCUGCACGAUCAGAGAAACCGGCAUCUCCCCCACGUUGCUUGGCCUCUCGCCUUAGGCCCUGUAGGACUACCCCGCCAACCCUCCAGGGAACGCACUCGCUUCUGCUCAUCCAACACCCUUCUCCUAGGCGGUCCUGCAUCCCCCAUAUGGCACUUUUCCCCUUUGUCCUUGGUCAGCGGCGGUGCUGCAGCCCGGUGCAAUACUCGUAUCCUCGACGCUCGCCAAGUGCUUGAUGAAAGGCCAGCAAGCUCUGCUCCCUUUCCCGCGAUCCUCGGUCGGCGCUUCCUCUCUCCUCCAUGAUUGAGUGCGUCCGUGCUGCAGCCUCGACGUCGUCCGCCUCCUGGUGCCCCAUUGCGCGGCCGUGACAUUCACUGUCCGCAUCCGCGUUUCGCCGUUCGUCGUUGGCUCGCCUCGCCGUCGCUUCGCGUCAUGCGCGCAGCACGUUGUCGUGCCUCGCCACUGGCUUGUUUGGCCGUCUGCCGUCGUUGCAAGGUUGCCUUUGGUGCAAUCUAUGCUCAGGUAAAGAAGAAGGCGUCGAGGCGGAUCUCCAGGAGUUCCAGGGCUUCGGCGAGUUCGAGGAUUAGGCUAGCGACCUCCCCCAGUCAGCUGCCUGUGGUGGGUUUAUUUACGUUGGCUACGUUUCUACUCUGUGUACUUUGAUUAUAUUAUGUAAAUGAAUCUAGUCUGUAAUAUUAUUACUUACUCUUUAUUGUAAUUUGAAGCAUUGUGCUAUGAUGAGUCAUUUAUG